UGGGGAAUAUUGCACAAUGGGCGGAAGCCUGAUGCAGCGACGCCGCGUGGGGGAUGAAGGCCUUCGGGUUGUAAACUCCUUUCGACAGGGACGAAGCUUUUGUGACGGUACCUGUAUAAGAAGCACCGGCUAACUACGUGCCAGCAGCCGCGGUAAUACGUAGGGUGCGAGCGUUGUCCGGAAUUACUGGGCGUAAAGAGCUCGUAGGUGGUUUGUCGCGUCGUCUGUGAAAUUCCGGGGCUUAACUCCGGGCGUGCAGGCGAUACGGGCUGACUUGAGUGCUGUAGGGGAGACUGGAAUUCCUGGUGCAGCGGUGAAAUGCGCAGAUAUCAGGAGGAACACCGAUGGCGAAGGCAGGUCUCUGGGCAGUAACUGACGCUGAGGAGCGAAAGCAUGGGUAGCGAACAGG
rnacentral:rRNA from 1 species